UCUGGUUGAUCCUGCCAGUAGCCAUAUGCUUGUCUCAAAGAUUAAGCCAUGCAUGUCUAAGUCCAAGCUGUGUUUACACGGCGAGACCGCGGACGGCUCAUUAAAUCAGUCGUGGUCCAAAUGGGCCAGUUAUUUCUUACUUGGAUAACUGUGGUAAUUCCAGAGCUAAUACAUGCAACUGAUACCCUGAAGAGAGUUCUCCUUCGCCUGCGCUUGUCGCAUGUGCGUUGCGUGAAUCCUCUCUGAAGGGCGCUUUUAUUAGACCAAACCGCUGAGGGUGGUGGGGUUGGUGCUUUACCGCGCUAGCUCCGCUGCUUGACUCGCAUUAUGGUGACUCUGGAUAACCAGCUUUGACAAGCGCACGUACCCCUCUUCGAGCGGGACGGCGCUGCCACUUUCGAGUGUCUGCCUUAUCAGCUGUCAACCGCUCGCUACACGCGACCGAUGGCUUUGACGGGUAACGGGGAAUCAGGGUUCGAUUCCGGAGAGGCAGCCUGAGAGACGGCUACCACGUCCAAGGACGGCAGCAGGCACGCAAAUUACCCAAUCCCAGCUCCUGGGGGAGGUAGUGACGAAAUCUAACGAUGCGGGCGCCCUUUUCGGGCCCCGCAAUCGGAAUGAGCGCUUUCUAAACAACCCGUUGAGAACCUACUGAAGGGCAAGUCUGGUGCCAGCAGCCGCGGUAAUUCCAGCUUCAGUAGCAUCUGUUAAAGUUGCUGCGGUUAAAAGGCUCGCAGUUGAAUGUCAGUGCCGGGCGUUGGAUCGGUGGACGAUGGAGCGUGGGAUCAAGUUUGCGCGCACGUCUGCUCUCUCUUGUGGGGGGCGCGUGUCGCAGGCUCUCACAAGCUCCCGUCCGUAACAAGCCUCCGCGCCUGCGUACAUAGUGAUGCUUAGUGAUGCUUAUUACUGCUGUGGACUUGCGGACUGGGUGCUGCAGCAUGUGCUUGGCUUUGUCGCCGGGCACCUCUGCUGUGCUCUCCAGGCCGUGUUCACGCAUGAGUUUCAGUGUCACCGUGAGUAAAUCAGAGUGCUCAAAGCAGUCGUAACGGGCCUUGUGCUCUGUGAACAGUCUUGACAGACUGACUUGGUUUUGCAUGGUAUGUCGGAAGACGACGUCGGGUGCUGGCUAAGAGUGAUGGGACGCGUCUGCGCGCGCUUUGCGUGUUUGUGGGCGCCCCGGAAUAUCAGUGGUAUAAGCCAGCCUCGACGUACUGAUUAAAAGGGCUUGUCGAGGGCAUUGGUAUUGCGGAGCGAGAGGUGAAAUUCUAUGACCUCCGCAAGACCGCCUGAAGCGAAAGCGUCUGCCAAGGAUGUUUUCAUUAAUCAUGAACGAAAGUUAGAGGAUCGAAGGCGAUCAGAUACCGCCCUAGUUCUAACCCUAAACGAUGCCAACCAUCAAUCCGCGCGUAGCACCCUUUUUGACGGGCUCGGCGGGCAGCUCCUUUUUCACGGGAAACCAGAGUCUUUGGGUUCCGGGGGGAGUCUGGUUGCAAAGCUGAAACUUAAAGGAAUUGACGGAAAGGCACCACCAGGCGUGGAGCCUGCGGCUUAAUUUGACUCAACACGGGCCAUCUCACCAGGCCAGCACUCUAGCAUGAUUGACAGAUUGAGAGCUCUUUCUCGAUUCAGUGGAUGGUGGUGCAUGGCCGUUCUUAGUUGGUGGAGUGAUCUGUCUGGUUAAUUCCGAUAACGAACGAGACUCUCCCCUGCUAACUAGUCGGUUGGAUCUUGCUCGGUGAGUCGUGUCCCGUUGUGCUCGACGGCUGUGGUUUUCGCGGUGCUUGGCGGGCGCGUCUGGCGUGGGCAUUAACGUGCUCGUGCCGGCGUGUUCCUCGCUUCAGCCCGUGAGGCUCUCCGUUGGAGGCUUCGGAUCUCACACUCCAAGUCCGCCGUUUAUGAUAAAUUUCUUCUUAGAGGGAUCCACGGCUCUGAAGCCGUCAGAGACUGAGAGCAAUAACAGGUCUGUGAUGCCCUUAGAUGCUCUGGGCCGCACGCGCGCUACAAUGCCGAGCACAGCAGGUUCUUUUCCUGCUCCGAGAGGAGCGGGCAACCCUCUGAAAGCUCUCACUCACUUCUUGCUCGCACUGCGUUUUGCCUCGGCAGGCGCAGACCAGCGGGCGAGAAUGGCGUGCUUGGGCCUGGGGCUUGCAAUUUUUCCCCACAAACGAGGAAUGCCUAGUAGCGGCGAGUCACUGAGCUCGCUGUGACUCAGUCCCUGCCCUUUGUACACACCGCCCGUCGCUACUACCGAUUGGGUGUACCAGUGAGAGCCUUGGACUGGCUGCCGUUGCCCCUUCCGGGGCAAGCGGAUUAGACGGAAAGAGGUACGAACUGGUGCACUUAGAGGAAGUAAAAGUCGUAACAAGGUUUCCGUAGGUGAACCUGCGGAAGGUCAUUA
rnacentral:rRNA from 1 species